GCGACCCCAGGUCAGGCGGGACUACCCGCUGAAUUUAAGCAUAUCAAUCAGCGGAGGA
rnacentral:rRNA from 4 species